rnacentral:rRNA from 1 species
ACGGAGGGGGUUAGCGUUGUUCGGAAUUACUGGGCGUAAAGCGCGCGUAGGCGGACUAUUAAGUCAGAGGUGAAAUCCCAGGGCUCAACCCUGGAACUGCCUUUGAUACUGGUAGUCUUGAGUUCGAGAGAGGUGAGUGGAAUUCCGAGUGUAGAGGUGAAAUUCGUAGAUAUUCGGAGGAACACCAGUGGCGAAGGCGGCUCACUGGCUCGAUACUGACGCUGAGGUGCGAAAGUGUGGGGAGCAAACAGG